CAGCAACACUGAACGUGGACAAGUGCAUUUUGUGAUGUGGCACUGCUGAGCAUGAGCCUGCUGGGAUUCAGGAGCUCAGGCAGGAUGUCACAUUUAGCAGGGGAUUGUCAAAUGCUCGAAAGCUGGAAUCACAGGAGCACUGUUUAAUGCUAAGUGGUAUCUGCAUCAUAUCUGAAGCUGGAACCUGCCAGGAAAACAUCCUUCACAUUCUGCACUAAUAUUUCCAAGCUUUCAGGACCAAUCAUGGGUUGGCUGGGGGUUGAAAAUGCUGGGGCUAAAUCCGUGUGGAUGCAGCACCUCCUCGGGUGGGCAGGACAAGGUCACAGCACCUUGAGAGAGAGAUGGGACUGACCAGGAGGGGCUGCUCCUGCUGGAGGCAAG
rnacentral:lncRNA from 1 species